UACGUAGGUGGCAAGCGUUGUCCGGAUUUACUGGGCGUAAAGAGCGCGCAGGCGGUCGUUCAAGUCGCGUGUGAAAGCCCCCCGGCUCAACUGGGGAGGGUCACGCGAUACUGAUCGACUGGAAGGCAGGAGAGGGAAGCGGAAUUCCCGGUGUAGUGGUGAAAUGCGUAGAUAUCUGGAGGAAUACCGGUGGCGAAGGCGGCAUCCUGGACCGACAUUGACGCUGAACGGCGAAAGCUAGGGGAGCAAACGGG
rnacentral:rRNA from 1 species